rnacentral:tRNA from 3 species
GUUCCCGUAGUUCAAUGGAUAGAAUAAAAGAUUCCGGUUCUUUCGAUUAGGGUUCGACUCCCUACGGGAAUACCA